rnacentral:tRNA from 1 species
GGGCCGGUGGUGAAACCGGAGAUCACCCGGAGCUACGAACUCUGUGUUGGGGGUUCGAGUCCCUCCUGGCCCACCA